UUUCUGAGCAUAUAAGCAGGGUGACUUUGGGAACAUCUGCCAGCUCGGAAGAUCAGCAGCCCAGGUUCUCCAGUUCCUCCUUUGUGUAACUCCCUGCAGGUGUAUUCACCCUACCCAGCCCUGGCAGGAGCAUUAGCAGCCUUGACCAGUGCCAUAAGCAGGAAGAGUGGAUCUAUCCCCAGCUGAGAGAAGAGACUUGGAGCAAGUAGCUUUUCCUUUCUUGGGGCACAUUUCAGUGCUGUGGAAUUUGGUCUUUCACACACAUGGUGCCAGGAUUGUCAGAAUGAUGGACUGCUUUUAUGGCUUCUUGAUAAACUGUCUAUUACAUGAUUGCUUGUAACUGCAAGUCUUAAGCUUUCACUCCUCACCUGGUUUUAAGUUAAUUGGACACAGGCAGAGUUAAUUAAUAAGUAGACAACUUUUCCUUCCUAAGCACCUCAUGCUGCCCUACAAUGUUAGGACUCAGUAUCCUUCAGAAAGGAACACAGUUCCUCUGAAAUGUCUUUCUUCCUUUCAUUUUCAUAAUAAUCCUGUAGUUUCUGGGUAUACCAUCUGUUGCCCUAAGUGUUGAUUAAAAGCCUUGGCAGACAUGUGAUGAUAGUCAGCAGAUCUUUGUAGCAGCUCUAACACAAGGCAACUGCAGAACAGCAGAACUAAGCAGUAAAAGAUACACCUUCCUUAACAUUCAGGCUCAGCACCUUGGCCUUUCCUCAUCCACUGUCACAACUGGGCUGAAAGAAGGGGCACGCUCAUUUCUGGCAGCAGAGAAGUUUCAGCAGAGGUCUGAUCCAUCACCAAAUGACAAACCUAUUGAUAGCAUCUGCCAGGGCAGAACAUAACCAGAGCAGCAGGUGGGAGAACAGACUGCCAUUGUGGGUUGAGGGUUUUUUCAGUAACUCAAAACUUUUCUCUUUAUGGGGCCUUGACUGACUGUGAUUUCCUGCUUAUCCAUAUAAUAUAAUCUCAAUUUUCUACUUAACAGGCCCUGCCUUGAAGUCAGCCAGACUUCCUGGUGAUUAUUCCAGAGCCUUUCCCUGAAACUGGGAGGGUUAUUUUGUAACCUGAAAUGAAGAGAUGCCUUAAUUUUUCCUUGGAGAUAGAAACAGAGACAUCUAAGACAGUUUGCUGCUAUAUCCUCCCACCCCUCCCCUUUACAUCAAACAGCUCAGGUGUCACUGAGCCUUAGGACCUUUUUCCAUUUGUGUCCAAAUAGCUUAUGAAGAGUGACAUAUUUUAGAACACAGCCUCAGUCUUCCUGGGUGUUUUUUUGCAGUUUAAAUACUGAACAUCAGCCAAAGCCCCCACAACAUCUGGGUACAUGUAACAGAGGGAUCUAACAAAGCCACAUUUAAUUACUCUCUUUGUUUUCACUUCCUUUCCCAUCAGCACUAAUUGCAAAAUGUAUGUGUAAAUUGUGACUUAAUUCUGACCCUCCCAGUUAACAUCUGACUAAUUUAGAAAUCCCUCAUGCCUUCUCAUCAACCCUUGUGUGUGACUGUUAAUCACACAGCAGACAGUUCCUCUGCUGAGCUGUUUGGAUAGGGGUGGGACCCAAUCUGAAGCCUUACACUAGAAUCCCAGAUCACACUGACUUCCUUGGCAGCAGCCCAUUUCACUGAUGCAAGGCUACAGACACAGGAGCUGCACUUGAUGCAAAGAUGCAGUGACAACAGAGACCCGGGUCCCUAAGCUGUGUUACAGCACCAGCUCUCAACACUGCAGAGGCUUUAGAGCAUUUCUGGCAGAAGAAAUAGGUUUUUAGCAGUAAUACAGCAAGAAAAUAUGCUAUUUGAUGAAAGACAGGUAUUACUGAAUGGUAAAAGUGUGUGUGAGAGAGUAUACAAAUGCCAGCAUGAGGAAACUAAGAAGUGCACAUUUGUACUCAAAGCCUUGCUUUGUCUGGCUUCAGACACUUGGGUGUUCACUGAAGUGAGAUGAUGAGAUACAGAUACUUACACGAGGCUCCAGCUUGGGUCACACUUGGGCUGAAACCUGAUGAUCAGCAGGUUCCUGGAUGACACAAAUAGGUGUUGAAGGUGGGAUCUGUUUACCCAUUAGGGGAAAGGGUGAAGUGCCAUGCUUAUGCCAGAGCAUCCAGCCUUCAGCAAGGCAAUUGGAACAGUGCUUGGCAAAUCCCAUCAUUCCCAGAGCCACGGAGCUGUGCUGUGGCAUGGCCAGGCAGCACCCAGGACACUGGUACUCAUCCACCCAGCACAGUGACUCAGGGCAGUGCCCAUCUCCAGGGCCAGGGAACAGGGAUUGCAGCUGCACAUUGCCUCAGCAGAGACAUUUAUUCAGAGCACUCGUGUGGCAAAACAAGCAACUACUUGAAAAGGAAGCAGUUUAAGCAGUUUAACUUACUGUAUUUCCUCUCUCUUUGAUAACUGGACUGGGUGUGCUGACUCAGAAAUCUUUCCAGGGUGAAUUCCUUCUAGCACCUGCUGUAAGGAUAUUUCCUCCUGCACAAGUCUCUCCUUUUUUUCUCCCCACCUCUACAGAGAAUGCUGAGAAGAGACCCACAGAGGUAACAGCCAACUUUCAGUGCAAACAGCUCUCCAGUGCAUUGACCUCUGUGGCCUGAACCUCUUUUGGAGCUCCCAAGCAGCUCAGUCUAACUCCUGCUGUAGGAGCACUCACCUGUAGCCAGUGUCCUCUGCCUUUCUCAGGAGUGAACCCCUGUGCUAAAUCCUGCUUCAUCUCUGCGUUCCCUGGGCACUGGGACAGACUUGCAAACUCUCCAAACAGAUGGGAAGGGUCAUUGCAGCUUAAAAAGAGUCACCAAAAAAGAUUUAGGGACACCAAGUAGAUUCUUCACAUCAUUUUUUUUUUGGCAGUGUGCAGAAACAAAACAGUUGCCUGAAGCCCAAUGCCAAUCCUUUUAUUUUGCAUCUUGUGUGAGCAAUUAGCAGUUAAUGACCAGCAGUGACCAGCAGGGCUCACCCUGUCCCAUCUGGAAAGGGUUUGGGCAGAGGAGUGUGAGGCCAAACCCACAACAGCUGAGCUCUGGUCCCAGGGCAGCAUCACAUGCUAUGUAAGCUGCUUGAGCUGCUGCUCCCUGCCUCAGUAUUUCAGCCAACAAA